UACAGAGGUCUCAAGCGUUGUUCGGAUUCAUUGGGCGUAAAGAGCUCGUAGGCGGUCUGUCGCGUCUGCUGUGAAAACUCGGGGCUUAACCCCGGGCCUGCAGUGGGUACGGGCAGACUAGAGUGCGGUAGGGGAGACUGGAAUUCCUGGUGUAGCGGUGAAAUGCGCAGAUAUCAGGAGGAACACCAAUAGCGAAGGCAGCUCGCUGGGACGGUACUGACGCUAAGGCGCGAAAGCGUGGGGAGCGAACAGG
rnacentral:rRNA from 1 species